AUGAAUCAUAAUGUAAGCUGGUCUUUUGGACAGUCACUUCUGGAUAUGUUUUUGGCCCCUGAAACUCCUCCUUGCGUUUUCCCAAAUCCAGAAUGCCAGGCCACAGGCAGCAUCCAGUUCGGUCGUAGUGCCGCCACCUCAGUGAACACUCCCACGUAUAGUCUCACCUGCGAACAGCAAAACCUGAACCAACUCAACGAAACCCUUUGUGCAGCAAUUUUAGGAGCAACAUCUCAGGAAUCCUAUGUCCUUUACCAGAUGUGUCAAGCACUCAGCACACUCUCUCAAACUGAAGUGAUAAAGGUCUGGAGGAACGUGUGUCACAUGAUCAAGAAUGUCAGCUUACCUCUCAUUGAGCCCUGCGGUGAUCCUGGCACCACACAAUCAAGUCGUAUUGCGCGGUCCACUCUCAGCCUCAGCGAACUACUCUGCGACUAUCAGAACUGGACUGUUGCUGAUGCUGUGGACCCAGCUCUGGUCACAAUGUGCAGUGAAAAUGAUCAUGCUGCAUUCAUUCUUGCGGUGUGUAACAAUGUUGAAGCUGUGCAAGUGCUGGUCAAAAAUCCUAGUAAUGCUUGGGUGUGGGAAUUCUGUGCAAACGUGUCAGACACGUACAUAGUGAACCUGUAUUGUUCAUAUAACAUGUGGACUGCUGAAACCAUCGACCCAUCAAUAGUGACGUUCUGCUGGUAUAAUGACAUGGAGAGAUUUCAGUUUUUUCUGUGUGACAGUAUACCCUUCUUUAUGGUUGUGUUCUCCAGUGAAGAAAACAACUGGCUGAGGCCCAAUUGCUCUGAACCUCCUCCACAAAUCGACAUCAACACCCUUGUGGCUGAGUCCUGCAAAUACUCAGAAUGGAAGAACAUACGAGCCAUCACCUCUGAACAGAUCUCUGUAUGUAUCCAAAAUGAUGAGGUUCGAUUCAUUAAUGAGGUGUGUGUCAAUCACACGUUUGUCACUGAACUUUUGCUGAACCACGCAAAUGCUUGGGUAGAGCAGUAUUGCACAUAUUCUAUCAGGAAUCCCCCUACAAGCCCACCACCGCUGAGCAUUGAAGUUUGGUGUAACUAUAGCAAAUGGACUAACGUGUCUGUGGAUCCAUCUGUGGUCGCUCUAUGCUGGCAGUACGACCAGAUCGGCUUCCAUCAGAACGUCUGCUGCAACAUACCCUUGUAUGACAAGUUGUCUCUUCAUGUUGACAACCAGUGGCUGAUUAGAGAGUGCUCUGAUAAUGACACCACUAAUGUGUUAGAGCAAGUUUGCAUCUAUUCAGAUUGGAGCCAUCCUACUAUUGUAGACAUGACUGAACUUGCUCUCUGUGCAGAUCUUGACACUGAGAACUUCACUCGGAAUGUAUGUGCCAAUGCUACGGUUCUCCAGAAUCUGCUGGCAAAUUUAGACAACACCUGGUUAUUGGAGCAAUGCUCAAACCUGACUGCGGCUGGCCCAGGUGGUGGGGCUGGGAACGGUGGGGGCCUGAUGGGUUUCCGACCGGCUGAGCAGUGUCAGUACUCCAGUUGGGCUUUGGUGCUCCCGGACGCUGCUCUCCUCGCUCUUUGCUGGGACUAUGACCAGGCCAACUUUAUCUCCUUCGUCUGUGCUGACUCUUCCAUGCUCAACCACAUAAUUCGGGAGGCCUCCAGCCUCUGGGUCGGCACUCUCUGUGCUACAUACACAGCUCCCCAAACCACCAGUGUCGGUGGGAGCAAUGAAACAACUCCCCAGCCAUGUCUAACUAGGGAUUUAGCUAAGAAGCUAAACUGGACAUGUAGCACAGACUUCAGCACUUUCUGCCAACCAGGUGCCAGUCAACUCCAGGGUUUGCGGGUGCUGUUGCGCUGUGGGAUAAAGAUCAUCCAGCCUCGCUUGGAGAAUCUCAUGAAUACACAGGUGACAUCGAUGGUCAAGCGGGCCACCAGCCUGUGGGUUGUCCUGCUGUUGGCUCUAGAAGAAAGCCAUUUGACCUCUCUGAGGGUGACCGAGAGUAUUCAGCUCAGUGUGUUUGACUCAAUUGUCAUCUACAUGGACAGUGAGACCAACUUUGACAACAAGCAUGUGCUUCUGCAGUGCUUUGGGGUUAGUAUCAUUAUUAAAUUGCUACUAGCCAAAGUAAUUCAUAUUAAGUACAGGGCGUAUCAUUGUUUUCAUUAG
ensembl:lncRNA